UAUCUCAUACCCUGCUUUGUGGGCCAA
rnacentral:piRNA from 1 species